rnacentral:rRNA from 1 species
GUGGGGAAUAUUGGACAAUGGGGGCAACCCUGAUCCAGCCAUGCCGCGUGUGUGAAGAAGGCCUUUUGGUUGUAAAGCACUUUAAGCGAGGAGGAGGCUUACCUGGUUAAUACCUGGGAUAAGUGGACGUUACUCGCAGAAUAAGCACCGGCUAACUCUGUGCCAGCAGCCGCGGUAAUACAGAGGGUGCAAGCGUUAAUCGGAUUUACUGGGCGUAAAGCGCGCGUAGGUGGCUAAUUAAGUCAAAUGUGAAAUCCCCGAGCUUAACUUGGGAAUUGCAUUCGAUACUGGUUAGCUAGAGUAUGGGAGAGGAUGGUAGAAUUCCAGGUGUAGCGGUGAAAUGCGUAGAGAUCUGGAGGAAUACCGAUGGCGAAGGCAGCCAUCUGGCCUAAUACUGACACUGAGGUGCGAAAGCAUGGGGAGCAAACAGGAUUAGAAACCCGAGUAGUCC